rnacentral:lncRNA from 1 species
UUCAACUAAAUGUAAUGACAGCUUCGAUAAAUGAGCUUAUGAGAAGAUUAAGAACCCAGUUUGAUAUGAAAGAUUUAGGAGACUCAGAGUCUCUUCAGGAGAUUAAAGUGAUGAUCACAUAGAGUUUUGGGGCCCCCUAUUUUGUCUCCCUUAAAUUCCUUUAUGGAUUUCGAGUCGGGAAUAUAGCAGUGGCUUAUUAAACGCUAAAUCACAAUUCAUUCUCCGGCAUAGAUGUUCACGAGUAAUGUUGAUUGAGAAUCUCGAGAACCUUUCCGAACGUCUGUCUUCGUGGGGCGAUUGGAAAAGAAAGGAGUAUUUAAUUCUUUUACUGCCUUCCAUUCCACUAUUAUGUUUUUACAUAAUAUGAAAAAGAAUAUUUUUUUUAAUUUCAACAAAAAUAAUGUACUUUCUUUUUAUAGAAGAAGUGUUUUCUUUUAUUUCGAAAAAAUGAGCACUUUCAAUUAUAACGAGUGUCAGUGUAGGUUAAUCUCAUUAAAUUGCACCAAGCAAUUGUAAUUUUAAUUACAUUUAUUUUACUCUUUUAGUUUGAUGAAAUUAUAAUUAUCUU